rnacentral:rRNA from 1 species
AACGAACGCUGGCGGCGUGCCUAACACAUGCAAGUCGAACGGGAUUCGGAGCUUGCUCCGAUGAGAGUGGCGCACGGGUGAGUAACGCGUAGAUAAUCUGCCUGAUGAUCUGGGAUAACAGUUCGAAAGGACUGCUAAUACCGGAUAAGCCCACGGAGACCUUGGUCUUUGCGGGAAAAGGGGGGGACCUUCGGGCCUUCCGUCAUCAGAUGAGUCUGCGUACCAUUAGCUAGUUGGUAGAGUAAAGGCCUACCAAGGCGACGAUGGUUAGCUGGUCUGAGAGGAUGAUCAGCCACACUUGAACUGAGACACGGUCCAGACUCCUACGGGAGGCAGCAGUGGGGAAUUUUGCGCAAUGGGGGAAACCCUGACGUAGCAACGCCGCGUGAGUGAUGAAAGCUCUUGGGUCAUAAAGCUCUGACAGAGGGAAAGAAGUGUAUGGUGGUUAAUACCCAUUGUACUUGACGGUACCCUCAAAGGAAGCACCGGCUAACUCCGUGCCAGCCGCCGCAGUAAAAC